AUACUUACAUGGCGAGGGGGCCUCGUUGAUCACCGAGAACGAGCCCCCAGGGCGAGGCGCUCGCGUUGACCUCUGCCACUACCCCAAUUGGGGCAGAUGGGGCACGCAAAUUGC
rnacentral:snRNA from 1 species